ACCGUUGGAUGGUAAUGAAAUUUUAGGAUGUUGUCCUAGAGAUAGAUUGUGGACCUCUGGAAGUUAUGGAUUUAAAAUCUGAGUGGCAGAUCUUCCGGAUCGAACUUCGUAGUGACGUAUUUUAUAUAAGUUAUAUAUUCUAUCGAUAUGAAUUCUGAGGUUGGAUUUGAUUAUUGUUUUAGGCGCCGAUCGUCAUGACACCUUGGCGUAUUGUGCUAGGGAGUUGUAGGGCGAACUCCAGGUGAGUGGGCAG
rnacentral:lncRNA from 1 species